CAAAAUCCCAUGAAAAAAAAGUUGUAGUCAUUUUUUUUUAUAAUUAAUAAAAAUUAAUGGAUUACCUUUUAAUUCAAAUUUUAAUAUGUACUUGUUUUAUCAGGCAUAGAUAAGGAACUUAAAAUAAAUCAUAAUAUUAUUUUUUCAUGUUUUUAUUAGUUUUAGUUAUUGGAGAGGUGGACAUAAUGCCCAUGCACUCAGACCUAUUGGUCCAUUGUGCACAUCUCAAUUGUCUUGAUUCGGUUUAACACCUAAGUAUUAUUACUGAAGCAUGUUUUUAAUAACAUAUGUAUUACAAUCAGAUUUACGACCGUUUAAUAAUAUUUAUCUUAUUUCAAAGAUACAACAAUUUUACAUUUAAAAUUAUAUUCUGGUAUUGUACUAUUUUUUAAUAAUUCAAAUAAUGUCCUAUAACAUGAGAAUUAAUUAAAGUAGCUUACUAUUUUUUAAAUAAAUAAUUAAACUCAAUUUAUCGUAAAUACAUUGAGUUUUUAACAUAUGCGUAAAUUGGAAAUAUUUUAAAACAGAGCACCAAAUUUUCGUUUCCUAAUCAUUGUUUUGUGGCGUCAAUUUUGUGUGAAAUUAUCUGUUUAACCUUUAAAUAUUAUAUUCAUGUUCAGCUAAAUUAUUUUAUUUGCUAUGUGAAAACGUAUUUUUCAUUACAAGUAUGGUGUUCUAGUCAGAAAGUGAAAUACAAUAGAUUUAAUGCCAAAUCUCAUUUUUGCCAGUAAAAAUAAUCAAAGUGGGUGUAUAAACAGAUCAGACGAAGUUCAACGGAUGAGUAGUCACAUUAUUUUGAAUACUAUUUAUAUAGUUUUAUUUCAUUUACAGAAAUAGCAUAACAGCUUACAUUGGCGUCAAAAACACAACUUUUGGGGGUUUGUGGGUCAUUGAAGCUGUCACUGUCGGUUGAUACACAUGGACUUCUAUAUACAUCUUAGGACGUACAUACUAGAUAUUAAUUAUUUAAAAUUACUUGGAAUGUUUAUUUAGAAAUUUGAGAUAACAGUUAUAUAUAGAAUUAUUUGAGUUAGUCAGAUGGAAAGAGGCCAUUAGUUUGAAUUGUUAAAUAAUGUUCAAAUGACACUUCUUUGAAAAUAGUUCUUACUCACUCGUAUACUACGUUAUCGUCUACAGUCCAUUCAUUCCAUUCAAGUGCUAGUAAUCGUAAUUUGGUAGCCGGUCGUCGGUCGUCGUUAGGGUAUUUCAUUUUUUAUGAAUGAAAAACCGACAAGUCAAACAGGUGGACGGAGGUAGUUGAUGUUUUUGUGCGUACAAAAGGCCCAUUUAAUAAUG